rnacentral:rRNA from 1 species
AGCGAACGCUGGCGGCAGGCUUAACACAUGCAAGUCGAGCGGGCACUUCGGUGUCAGCGGCAGACGGGUGAGUAACACGUGGGAACGUACCCUUCGGUUCGGAAUAACGCUGGGAAACUAGCGCUAAUACCGGAUACGCCCUUUUGGGGAAAGGUUUACUGCCGAAGGAUCGGCCCGCGUCUGAUUAGCUAGUUGGUGGGGUAAUGGCCUACCAAGGCGACGAUCAGUAGCUGGUCUGAGAGGAUGAUCAGCCACACUGGGACUGAGACACGGCCCAGACUCCUACGGGAGGCAGCAGUGGGGAAUAUUGGACAAUGGGCGCAAGCCUGAUCCAGCCAUGCCGCGUGAGUGAUGAAGGCCUUAGGGUUGUAAAGCUCUUUUGUCCGGGACGAUAAUGACGGUACCGGAAGAAUAAGCCCCGGCUGACUUCGUG